UACCUCUAGGCUUCGUAGCCAGGGUGGCUGGUUCGUUACCUCUGGGCUUCGUAGCCAGGGUGGCUGGUUCGUUACCUCUGGGCUUCGUAGCCAGGGUGGUUGGUAAGAAAGCAGAGAGUAAUGUUGAGUGUUUUUAGUAGGAAUGGAAAGGGGUAGAGACAAAGGUGGAGGUGUGUGAGGAGGUGGUGUGUGAGGAGGAGGUGUGUAUUCUAUGUAAUGUUGUGUCUUUAGUAGGAAUGGAAAGGG